rnacentral:rRNA from 1 species
UACGAAGGGGGCUAGCGUUGUUCGGAAUUACUGGGCGUAAAGCGUGCGCAGGCGGUUUUGUAAGCCAGAUGUGAAAUCCCCGGGCUUAACCUGGGAAUGGCAUUUGGGACUGCAAGGCUUGAGUGCGGCAGAGGAGACUGGAAUUCCUGGUGUAGCAGUGAAAUGCGCAGAUAUCGGGAGGAACACCGGUGGCGAAGGCGGUUCUCUGGGCCGUUACCUGACGCUGAGGAGCGAAAGCGUGGGGAGCGAACAGG